CAGCAAUGUCAGAAUCAUUAGUGUUCUGAUCUCCAAAUCAUGGGGAGAAUGACUGGAAUAAGAGAAGACAAGGGACAGAGAAAAUCUAAAGCUGCCGAGCAAGAUAGUCAAUAUGAGGCUUGACCGGGCAGCUAUCAAUUCCCUGCCACAGGUGUUGACAUGGAUAAAGCCUCCCUACAGUGAGAUCCCCAAAUACAAUGUAAUUUGACUUUCAGCUCAUAAGAACAUAAGAACAGCCCUGCUGGAUCAGGCACAGGGCCCAUCCAAUCCAGCAUCUAGAUGCCUCCAAGAAGCCCACAGGCAAGAG